GAGCUCAAUGUAAUCACAGGGCCUUUCAGUUCAGUUGAAGAGAGUGGGAGGCAGUGGAGGUGGCAGAGUCGGAAGGAGAUAAGAUGUUGGAAGCUUGCUUGGAGAGAUGUCAGAAGCUUGCUGGGAGAGAUGGCACGUCUCCACCUGCCACUGCUAACUUUGAAGAAGAAAGGGGGCUGUAAGUCAAGGAAUGUGAGCAGCCUCGAGAGGCUAGUGGAGGCAAAGGAACAGAUUUUCCCUUAGUACCUCCAAGAAGAAGCAGGCCCAUUGAUAUACUGAUACUAGUCUGGUGUAAAAGACCUAUUUUGGACUUCCGACUUCCAGAAAACUUCCUGGUUUUCCUUCUACCCCACUGACCACCUUUUCCUUGGGCCCUUUGGAAGAGCAAUUCAUUUUGGUAGUGUUUCUUAGGAAUUUCUCCUCAGUACUCUCUCUUUUGAAUUCUUUUUCUUAGGUGAUCUCAUCCAUUCCCAUUCCCAUCCCUUCCCAUUCUGUUCAAGAAUAUUUGAACUUCUUCAAAUAUUUCUUUUUAUAAUGAAUUACUCCCUAAGUGAUAUUCCUAGUUGAGACCCCUCCUAUAGCCCCACACGAUUUAAGCUUGUCAUCUCUCAACUCAACAUUGUUUGUUAAGCUAGGAUAGCAUACAAACAUUUCAAACAUAACAUUUUCAAAAUAAUACCACCCACAAAAGCAGUUCCCCACCCCCACAUUCAAUUAUGUUUGGCUUAAGUCAAAAAGAAGAGUCAAGCUUCAUUUCUCUUUCCCUAACCUCGUGUUCAUCCAUCCCAUCAACAACCCAUCCACUCCAGUCUGCCUUCACUACUGCCUUCCUAGUCCAAGUUACCAUCAUUUUUCACCCCAAAACCAUAGUUGCUCUCCUUCAGCCUCUGCUUCUAUCCUUGUUCCUCCAUGGAUCUAUUUUCCUCACCACAGUGAAAGUGUCCUUCUUAGGGCACAAAUCAGAUCUUGUCAUGUCCCUUUGUAACACCCUUAAAUGGCGUCCGUUGGACUUAGAUCCCAUCUCCUUUGCAAUGACUGGUG
ensembl:lncRNA